AGAGUUUGAUCUUGGCUCAGGACGAACGCUGGCGGCGUGCGUAAUACAUGCAAGUAGAACGCUGAAGAGAGGAGCUUGCUCUUCUUGGAUGAGUUGCGAACGGGUGAGUAACGCGUAGGUAACCUGCCUUGUAGCGGGGGAUAACUAUUGGAAACGAUAGCUAAUACCGCAUAACAAUGGAUGACACAUGUCAUUUAUUUGAAAGGGGCAAUUGCUCCACUACAAGAUGGACCUGCGUUGUAUUAGCUAGUAGGUGAGGUAAUGGCUCACCUAGGCGACGAUACAUAGCCGACCUGAGAGGGUGAUCGGCCACACUGGGACUGAGACACGGCCCAGACUCCUACGGGAGGCAGCAGUAGGGAAUCUUCGGCAAUGGGGGCAACCCUGACCGAGCAACGCCGCGUGAGUGAAGAAGGUUUUCGGAUCGUAAAGCUCUGUUGUAAGUCAAGAACGGGUGUGAGAGUGGAAAGUUCACACUGUGACGGUAGCUUGCCAGAAAGGGACGGCUAACUACGUGCCAGCAGCCGCGGUAAUACGUAGGUCCCGAGCGUUGUCCGGAUUUAUUGGGCGUAAAGCGAGCGCAGGCGGUUUGAUAAGUCUGAAGUUAAAGGCUGUGGCUCAACCAUAGUUCGCUUUGGAAACUGUCAAACUUGAGUGUAGAAGGGGAGAGUGGAAUUCCAUGUGUAGCGGUGAAAUGCGUAGAUAUAUGGAGGAACACCGGUGGCGAAAGCGGCUCUCUGGUCUGUAACUGACGCUGGGGCUCGAAAGCGUGGGGAGCGAACAGGAUUAGAUACCCUGGUAGUCCACGCCGUAAACGAUGAGUGCUAGGUGUUGGAUCCUUUCCGGGAUUCAGUGCCGAAGCU
rnacentral:rRNA from 1 species